AUUUAGGCAUUUACUUUUUAGCCCUAGCUGAUCUCAGAAGGUAAAUAGGAUCAGUUCUAGUUAGCACUGAGAUUGGAGACUACUUGAGAAUGCCAAGUGCUGUAGGCU
rnacentral:rRNA from 1 species